rnacentral:rRNA from 1 species
GACAGAGGGUGCAACCGUUGCUCGGAAUCACUGGGCGUAAAGGGCGCGUAGGCGGGGAUGUAAGUCGGGCGUGAAAUCCCCAGGCUCAACCUGGGAACUGCACUCGAAACUGCGUUUCUUGAGUAUCGGAGAGGAAAGCGGAAUUCCUGGUGUAGAGGUGAAAUUCGUAGAUAUCAGGAGGAACACCAGUGGCGAAGGCGGCUUUCCGGACGGUAACUGACGCUGAGGCGCGAAAGCGUGGGGAGCAAACAGG